GAUGAACGCUGGCGGCGUGCCUAAUACAUGCAAGUCGAGCGAACGGACGAGAAGCUUGCUUCUCUGAUGUUAGCGGCGGACGGGUGAGUAACACGUGGAUAACCUACCUAUAAGACUGGGAUAACUUCGGGAAACCGGAGCUAAUACCGGAUAAUAUAUUGAACCGCAUGGUUCAAUAGUGAAAGACGGUCUUGCUGUCACUUAUAGAUGGAUCCGCGCUGCAUUAGCUAGUUGGUAAGGUAACGGCUUACCAAGGCAACGAUGCGUAGCCGACCUGAGAGGGUGAUCGGCCACACUGGAACUGAGACACGGUCCAGACUCCUACGGGAGGCAGCAGUAGGGAAUCUUCCGCAAUGGGCGAAAGCCUGACGGAGCAACGCCGCGUGAGUGAUGAAGGUCUUCGGAUCGUAAAACUCUGUUAUUAGGGAAGAACAAAUGUGUAAGUAACUGUGCACAUCUUGACGGUACCUAAUCAGAAAGCCACGGCUAACUACGUG
rnacentral:rRNA from 1 species